AUGGCCAAUUAACGGUCUUUAAUCAGCCAAACGGACAAAUUAUCAAAAUUAUUAAGUAGGCAGUCCAACAAGUGAACAACCAUCAAACCUUAACACGUGCGCUUUGCAAUAAAAUGAUGAUGACUCCACAAGUUGGCUGUAAAAUGCUUACUUGCCUUGGGAACCCAUCUCUCAUCCCAUGUGGCGCUAAUAUUUAAUGUACAUUGCAAUGUACUUCAUAAUUUCUGAUGUUUAUAUAAAAAAUCAGCACAGAAAAUGGAUAGUCUUACAUCAGAUGCACUUGCCAAUUUCAACCUAACUGAAAUUAUUAUUCUUUGUCUGGUAUUUACAUUUGUACUAAUCUUAAUGACUCAUGCAUGUCAUCUGAUCGCCUCUUAUGAAUGGUAGCACCAAUGAAAAACGAAGAUAGUGAUUGGUCGUUUCCGAAGGACUUUAAUGAAUUAAGUUUAAGUCCUUCGUUGAAAGUGCACGAAUUCGGGCUCACAGAAGUAAUAUGCCUCACAGUGUCACUGACAAUCAUGUUAAUCAUAAUUACACAAAUCUUUCAAAUAAUAAACGGAUGUCUCCGAGAAACACUACAAUACAACUAAUAGUUAUAUUUUAAUCGAGACGGCAAUGCUAUCUCAAGGUUGCUGCAUUUUAUCUGCUUGUUGCAUUCUAUCAGCAUGUUUUAUGUUAAACGGGAGCUAUUUUUAACUAAAAUAGAAAAUGGCUCCCCUGGCCCUGGAAGAUUUAUGACUUCAUUGACAACGCAGUGAAUUAAAUAAAAUGGGACCCACGGAUACUUUAAAUAAAAUAUUUGGCAACAGUUGUUGCCAAUCUUUUCUCUGCUGUACCGGGAUGAAUUUAGCAAUGUUACUCAUAGCUGUCUUCGGGGCAGUUUUAGUUCUGGUGAUAAUAUUACAAAGCCUCAGCCUCGUCGGACAAUCGCCAUCCAGCAGAGCGCGUUGCUGAUGAAACAUACUUAUUUAUGAAUUGUUGGAUUGCAGGGUUCUACGGAGAUCUUAUGUAAUGCAAUCGCCGCUAAAAGCAAAAAACUUUCCAAAAAGAAACCAAAAAAGAGGACGCAACCUUUGGAACAACCGACAUCCACGAAGGAACAGCCACUAUUCGAUAAAAUACAGACCCCAACUAUAGGCAAACCGCCUACACCCAAAGACGAACAGCCUCCAUCUAAAGACAAACAGCCUCUAUCUAAGGACUUACAGCCUCCAUCUAAAGACGAACAGACUACAUUGAAAAUACGAACAACGUUCACUGAAAGACCCAAAUAAUACACCUGUAUCCAAAAAUUCGUUAGCGAAUCAACGCUAAACAGCCCCGCAAAACAAGUCGUAGUCGAAGGGUAUAUCCAGAACACACGCAUUGGCGCCAGCUACAACUGAAAGGGUGCCGCCAGCAACAUCUGAGAAGGUAUCGUCGUCUUCCACACCUGUGAAUUCAUUGUGUACAACGCUGACGUCUUUGGUUAAUUAUGUUAUAAAAACCAGUGCGCUUCUGUUCCACCAAUAGCAUUUAUGGCAACUACGGCACCUCAGAGUGCAAGCGCCGAGUGCUGUCAAGGCGUUCUCUGCUGCUCCGCCGAAAACCACGACGUUAUCACAAUUGUCUCACUUGCCAUAGCCAGCAUAGUCUUCGUGUAUAUUCUCUUUACAAUCUGUAAUAUUAUAAACGGCGACAGUGGACAAAGGAACGACGUUAGACAUUAAAAUUAUUGCUGGUGCAUAUUUUACAAGUCUAUUAAGAAAGAUCUGUCGUCCUGUAUAUUACUUAUUAUCCUGAGGUCUAAAUCACCUCCAAAGGUUUAAUGGAAGCUAAAUCAGCAAAAUCACAAGCACCUGCAAAGGCUAACGAAGGAGGGGGAGCAGGAAAUGAACCGUCUGACAAAACAUGCUGCGAAGGCAUAUUUUGCUGCAGCGCCAUUUACCACAAUACUCUUGUGAUAUCUUUAGUGAUCCUAGCCAUCAUAAUAAUUUUGUCGCUCGCCUGUAAAGUUUUCAAACUUUUCAGUGGACGAAGGGACUCGACUAGAAGCCGACGUAGUAUUCAUAAUACAAACCGACGUAGUGCUGUUGUAUAGUAGGUAUAAAAAUAAUCUGCAAUUUAUGCAAUUUAAACUCACAAUAAAAUUAUUAAAAAUGUUUGUAAUCGUAUUUGAAAAGGCUAACACAAAGAUUCAAUACACACACAUGCACAUUCAACAGACCACUUGAAAAAUUCUCAAUACAGUUCGUAAUUUUUCAAAAGUUAUAUUGAUUUUGAUUGUUUAAUAAAAAGUGAACUUUCU